CAGAGGUUUGGCCAGACUGACUGCCCAAGGGGUCCUGGACACACCAGAGCAGUUAAGAAGUCCUGGCCGCGAUCACGACGAAGAACCCCUACUACCAAGGAAGUAUCUCAGAGGCAGCAGGGUAUGGAGAACAUGGCAUUGGACUAGAAAUCAGGUGACCUGAAUUGGAGUUCCUAUGUUAUCUCCAGCCUCAAAGCCUGGAUAAAAGUACUGGGGCCUGCGGUCACAUGGACUUUGAGGGGCCAGUCUCAAAUAAAGCAGCAGAGCCUAUGGGCCUAUUCCUAGACUGGCAAUGGAGGUCUACAGAGGAAGAUGUAACUGACCAAAGAAGGCAGAUGAAGACACUGAGGUCCAAAGGGUUGUGUCUUGACCAAAGUCAUAUGGAUGAGGGUGACCUCCUUCCAGCCAGACAUCACUUUGAUGCCCUUCUUGGUCAUUUAGG